ACGUACACUCCUACGGGAGGCAGCAGUGGGGAAUUUUGGACAAUGGGCGAAAGCCUGAUCCAGCCAUGCCGCGUGCAGGAUGAAGGCCUUCGGGUUGUAAACUGCUUUUGUACGGAACGAAACGGCCUUUUCUAAUAAAGAGGGCUAAUGACGGUACCGUAAGAAUAAGCACCGGCUAACUACGUGCCAGCAGCCGCGGUAAUACGUAGGGUGCAAGCGUUAAUCGGAAUUACUGGGCGUAAAGCGUGCGCAGGCGGUUAUGUAAGACAGUUGUGAAAUCCCCGGGCUCAACCUGGGAACUGCAUCUGUGACUGCAUAGCUAGAGUACGGUAGAGGGGGAUGGAAUUCCGCGUGUAGCAGUGAAAUGCGUAGAUAUGCGGAGGAACACCGAUGGCGAAGGCAAUCCCCUGGACCUGUACUGACGCUCAUGCACGAAAGCGUGGGGAGCAAACAGGAUUAGAUACCCCAGUAGUCC
rnacentral:rRNA from 1 species